rnacentral:lncRNA from 1 species
CUAUUUACUCUUCAUGUACCGGAACGCGUCAGCAAAUAUGUGUGUACAUAUGUACAUUCAUAUGUAUGUACAUGUGUAGGUAUGAAUGUACUUAACCUUAGUGCUAUAUGUACAUAUUAAGUUGGUAACAUAUUUAUACACUGCAUUCGAAGAGUAAGUAGGGUAAAUUGUAUUUGUGGACGCAUUAUUUUACAUUUUUGUUUUAUCUCAGCCAUCUACAUUUACAUCCCUUCUCGUGCCACGUCUCGUGUCAGACUCGCACACUUCGGGAGACAGUGAGUGGUUGAGGUCGGUGGCAGCGACAGCCACAGCCACAAGGUGUGUCGUCGUGGUGGCAUCAUAAUGCUAAUGAUAUUGGCUUUAAAGAAUGGCAGCAGCGAGAGGAGUCAGGUUGCAGGAUCCAGGAGGCCCAAGCCGGAGGCUUGCAAACCUAGUUAGUAGCUGCUACGCAACCAUGGCCAGGACUUUAGUUUAUGAAAAACUCUUUAGAAAUGCAGUAGUAAUUUUCCGUUGCUUUUUUUAUGUACUGCCUGUCUCUAUUAUUCUGUUGAAUCGGUUUAUGUUUUUGUUGUCGCACGUUUUCACAGUCAAUUGACCAAUGAUAUGUGCAAAAAGGAAUGAAGCGUGUCUAAUGUGAUGGAAGGUUUGGCGCUGCGCUGCUGUGUGUAUUGCUUUUAUUAUUAAGUUUAACUUUAAAGCCACGCCCCCUUCAGCCCCGGCAAAAGGGCGAAAACCUCCCAAGUCUACAGUUUUAAAGAUAAAAGAAAACUAGAAACGCCAUUCCGUAGAGAAUGGCCAUAUCUAUCAGAUCACCAAAUUGGGAUCCGAUUGGAUCAUUAUUAUAGCCACAAUGAAGAAAUUAAUUUCCAGUGGCUAAACCCACCCUG